GCUUUGACGCUUUUCUUCCUUAUCCAUGGCUGAUCCUUAUCUUCUCCAAAAGGCAUUUUCUUCUCCAUCUUCUUCCUCCCAUGCCAUUUUCCUUUCUUCACCAUAAAAAUCAAGUUUUUUUCUUCUCCUUUCUCUUAUUUUCUUACUUCUCCAUUCUCUUACCCUUUUAUUCACCCAACUCACAACUCUCAACCUCAUUUUUCAUCCUAACUAAACCCUAGGAGAGAGAAAAGAAGAAAGAAGAAAGAAAAAAGGAAAAAAAGAAAGGAAAAAGGAAGAGAAAAGCUCGAAGGAGGCUCGACCUUGAAGGAGAAAAGAGAAAACUAAGGGGUUUUCUCUUUACCCACACACCAUCGUUGAGGUUGAAAAGAUUUUGGCGAUUUGCCUUGUGGAUUUCAAGCAAGGAUCAAUAAAGAUCCAAGGAACCUAAGGCAUGCAUGUGGAAGAAUCUUGGAAUGCGUGGUGAUUUUGAGCUAGAUUAAGUGUUUUCAAGAUCAAAGGUAAUUGGAUCCUAGGUCGAGGUGCUCCUUCCUAUUCAUCUUUCGGUAGGUUGACUAUGACUCUCAAAGAUAGCACCCAUGCCUAGAGUCACUCCGCUGGUUGUCAAGGUCUGUUGUAUGUUUAUAAGUGAUGGCUUAAUGUAAAUUGUGAGAUUUGUUGUGAACUUCAUAUGUACUUGGUUUUCACGAUUUAAAUUUU